rnacentral:tRNA from 1 species
GCCUUCGUGGUGUAGUGGCCAGCACGCUCGACGCAUAACCGAGAGGUCCGUGGUUCGAUUCCCGGCGAAGGCG